rnacentral:rRNA from 1 species
GAGGCAGCAGGCGCGCAAUUACCCAAUCCUGACUCAGGGAGGUAGUGACAAGAAAUAACAAUAAACCGGCUUAUGCCGGUUUAAUUGGAAUGAGUACAAUUUAAACAUCUUAACGAGGAACAAUUGGAGGGCAAGUCUGGUGCCAGCAGCCGCGGUAAUUCCAGCUCCAAUAGCGUAUACUAAAGUUGUUGCAGUUAAAAAGCUCGUAGUUGGAUUUCUGUGGGGACGGAGCGGCCGGCCGCACAUCGCGGUUCGAGCUAGCGCUUUCCCUACAUCCUGCCGCGAACCGUGCUACCAUUAAUUUGGUGGCGCCGGGGAUCGGCUCGAUUACUUUGAGAAAAAUAGAGUGUUCAAAGCAGGCCACAUGCCUUGAAUAAGUUAGCAUGGAAUAAUAACUAAGGACUUCGGUUCUAUUUUGUUGGUGUUCGGGACUGAAGUAAUGAUUGAUAGGGACAGUUGGGGCGGUCUGUAUUCCAAAGCGAGAGGUGAAAUUCUUAGACCUUCGGAAGACAAACAGCUGCGAAAGCGUUCCGCAAGGAUGUUCCCUUUGAUCAAGAACGAAAGUUGGGGGAUCGAAGACGAUCAGAUACCGUCGUAGUCUCAACUAUAAACUAUACCAGCUAGGGAUCGGCCAACGUUAUUUUAUACCGACUUGGUCGGCACCUUAUGAGAAAUCAAAGCAUCUGGGUUCCGGGGGGAGUAUGGUCGCAAGGCUGAAACUUAAAGGAAUUGACGGAAGGGCACCACCAGCCGUGGAGCCUGUGGCUUAAUUUGACUCAACACGGGAAAACUUACCAGGUCCAGACAUAGUAAGGAUUGACAGAUUGAUAGCUCUUUCUUGAUUCUGUGGGUGGUGGUGCAUGGCCGUUCUUAGUUGGUGGAGUGAUUUGUCUGGUUAAUUCCGUUAACGAACGAGACCCCAGCCUGCUAAAUAGCGCGAGUGAGCUUUGCUCGCUGCGAGCUUCUUAGAGGGACUAUGAUGCGCGAUAGCACAUGGAAGUUUGGGGCAAUAACAGGUCUGUGAUGCCCUUAGAUGUUCUGGGCCGCACACGGGCUACACUGGCGCCUGCAACGAGCAUAUCAGCUGGCCCGAGAGGGUCUUGGCUAAUCUUUUGAACCGGCGCCGUGCUUGGGAUUGACCUUUGCAAUUGUUGGUCAUGCAACGAGGAAUGCCUUGUAAACGCGAGUCAUCAGCUCGCAUUGAAUACGUCCCUGCCCUUUGUACACACCGCCCGUCGCUCCUACCGAUGAAUGUUCCGAUGAAAUUUUCGGAGAGUGCCUGUGAACUUGGCUCUGCCUUGCGAACGGGAAGCUCAAAGUCACUAAAUUCUGAACAUUAAA